rnacentral:rRNA from 1 species
AGAGUUUGAUCCUGGCUCAGGACGAACGCUGGCGGCGUGCUUAACACAUGCAAGUCGAACGGUAAGGCUCCUUCGGGGGUACACGAGUGGCGAACGGGUGAGUAACACGUGAGUAACCUGCCCUUGACUUCGGGAUAACAUUUGGAAACAGAUGCUAAUACCGGAUAUUCAACCUUUGACACAUGUUUUUGGUUGGAAAGUUCCGGCGGUCAGGGAUGGACUCGCGGCCUAUCAGCUUGUUGGUGAGGUAAUGGCUCACCAAGGCUUCGACGGGUAGCCGGCCUGAGAGGGCGACCGGCCACAUUGGGACUGAGAUACGGCCCAAACUCCUACGGGAGGCAGCAGUGGGGAAUAUUGCACAAUGGGCGAAAGCCUGAUGCAGCAACGCCGCGUGCGGGAUGACGGCCUUCGGGUUGUAAACCGCUUUCAUCCAUGACGAAGCUUUUUGUGACGGUAGUGGAAGAAGAAGCACCGGCUAACUACGUGCCAGCAGCCGCGGUGAUACGUAGGGUGCGAGCGUUGUCCGGAUUUAUUGGGCGUAAAGAGCUUGUAGGCGGUUUGUCACGUCGGGAGUGAAAACUCAGGGCUUAACCCUGAGCCUGCUUCCGAUACGGGCAGACUUGAGGAAGGUAGGGGAGAAUGGAAUUCCUGGUGGAGCGGUGGAAUGCGCAGAUAUCAGGAGGAACACCAGUGGCGAAGGCGGUUCUCUGGACCUUUCCUGACGCUGAGAAGCGAAAGCGUGGGGAGCAAACAGGCUUAGAUACCCUGGUAGUCCACGCCGUAAACGGUGGGUACUAGGUGUGGGGGACAUUCCACGUUCUCCGUGCCGCAGCUAACGCAUUAAGUACCCCGCCUGGGGAGUACGGUCGCAAGACUAAAACUCAAAGGAAUUGACGGGGCCCCGCACAAGCGGCGGAGCAUGCGGAUUAAUUCGAUGCAACGCGAAGAACCUUACCUGGGUUUGACAUAUGCCGGAAACAGUCAGAGAUGGCUGCCCCUUUUUGGUCGGUUUACAGGUGGUGCAUGGCUGUCGUCAGCUCGUGUCGUGAGAU